AAAAGUACUCUGAAAAGAGAGUUAAAAAGUACGUGAAACCGCUGGAAGGGAAGCGAAUGGAGUCGGCAAUUCGCCCUGCCUGAUUCAUCCACUCUCGUUCUACAACCCGCUUUCUCGCGACCUGUUCCCAGGCACGGUUUGCGCGGUCGUCGUCACGGGUGUGGUGCACUUCGGCGGGCGAACGUCAACGCCAGUCAACCGCGCGUCACAAACUCGCAAGCUCGGUACAUUCUUCGGAAUGGGUAAGUCUUGCGUGUGCACGACGCGCGAGAGACUGUCCUCACUCGCAGCGUGUGUCCCCUACGGGCUGCUGCCUUUGUCGUCGAUCCGGCUGUGCUGUCCAGCGGACGGCUGUACGCCUGUGCGUCGGCAGUGCCGCUGAUCGACAGACCUAAGAUGCAGACACCACACGCUCAGUACGUUGACCGACCUGCGUCUCCAUCCGACCCGUCUUGAAACACGGACCAAGGAGUCCAACAUGUGCGCAAGUCUCAGGGUGAACGAAACCCGUCGUGGGCUUAAUGAAAGUAAAUGCGGUCUCGCGGCCGCAGAGAUGAGAAGCGCACUUUCUCGUGCACUGCAUCAUCGACCGACCUCAUCUACUCUUAGAAAGGUUUGAGUUAGAGCGCACCUGUUGGGACCCGAAAGAUGGUGAACUAUGCCUGAAUAGGGCGAAGCCAGCGGAAACACUGGUGGA
rnacentral:rRNA from 1 species